GAAAGCAGCGGGCCCUUUAGAGGACAGGUGAUUUAGGAACACCUCUGCCCGUCCCCUGCUGGACUCCUGUCCCAGGAUCUCCUUGUACUCCACCAGUGAGAAGACCUUGUCGUACACCAGCUCCUUCUUGGAGAAUAUUUCAGAAGUUAUUUUGGUCCUGCUGACUGGCCCGAAAAGCUCCAGGGACUUUGAAAACAAGUUUUUUCUCCUCUAGCGCCCCCUGGUGGCCCUGCCCACUCAGAUCCGCAGUGACAGAGCGCUGACCUCAGGGUGAACUUCCUGCAAAGAGCUGAAGAAGGAGACGAAGGGCGGACGGCCAAAUCCUCCAGACUGACCUGAGAGGACGAUGGCCGUCAUGGCCAUGAUGCGGUGCAAGUCGAUGGCAGCAUCGAAGGGGAUGUAGCGGUUCAGGAAGGUUUCUCUCAACAGCGUGAUGAGGUUUCGACACACGGUGAGGAGGAUGUAGGGAUACAGGAAGGAGAUUCCAGCCGCCGUGCCGCGAGCGACUAUGAUGCCCAUCACUGUGGAUUCAGGCACGCCGGUGGCUUCAGCCUGAGAACUGUAGACUGAACACAGGGUCUCAGUCAACCAUGUAUUUCAAUGUUUUGUACAUGUCUUUAUGAGGUGAUGUUUUC